GACGAACGCUGGCGGCGUGCUUAACACAUGCAAGUCGAACGGAAAGGCCCUGCUUUUGUGGGGUGCUCGAGUGGCGAACGGGUGAGUAACACGUGGGUAACCUGCCCUUGACUUUGGGAUAACUUCAGGAAACUGGGGCUAAUACCGGAUAGGAGCUCCUGCUGCAUGGUGGGGGUUGGAAAGUUUCGGCGGUUGGGGAUGGACUCGCGGCUUAUCAGCUUGUUGGUGGGGUAGUGGCUUACCAAGGCUUUGACGGGUAGCCGGCCUGAGAGGGGGACCGGCCACAUUGGGACUGAGAUACGGCCCAGACUCCUACGGGAGGCAGCAGUGGGGAAUAUUGCACAAUGGGCGGAAGCCUGAUGCAGCAACGCCGCGUGCGGGAUGACGGCCUUCGGGUUGUAAACCGCUUUCGCCUGUGACGAAGCGUGAGUGACGGUAAUGGGUAAAGAAGCACCGGCUAACUACGUG
rnacentral:rRNA from 1 species